GAAUAUGUUUUGGGCGUUGUGGAGAAGGUCAGGUGUACCGUGGACGCUUCCAUUCAGGAACUUGUCGACAUCACCCUCCAAAGGUACUGUCUUUUCCCUCUCCCAAUCCUGCCCUGCUUGAAUUCUUUGGUCUCUGUACUUGCUGAAAUGAUGUCUGAUAUGGCACCACAGUCCACAGGUAGGAAGGGCCUCUGUAGCUGCCGCACCACCUAUUCCACAAGUUCCACAGCGAAGUUGAGUUGCCGGUGUUUUGCUGCUAAGCCCUGGACGACCAGGACUUCCUCCAUAUGGACCGCCAUCACCAUCAAGAUGCUCAAAUUAGUGGAGGAGCGGAGGUACACCAAGAGGCACAGCCAGAGUCAAAUAAGUGCUCUUUUAGAGGAGACAUGGCAGCGCCUGCAUGAUCGGGGCCUGACCUACUUCAGAUGGUGAACCAACUCUUAUCAUGAUGAUCCUUAUGCAAAAGAGUUUAGCAUCAAGAUCAGUGAGUGGCUGACGUUGGUCAAUGCACGGGUUUUACGUGCUCCCCGGCUUAAGUACAACAAGAACGGUCGAGAGAAGGAUUGCUUGCCUAGAGUUGGCCAGUGGAAUAUGAUGAACAAGAAACUGUUCAAUGGUGGUACAGUCAGGAGCUGGAUGUGUGCCAAUUUUGCCUGAAACAUGCAGGACAACGUUGCCACUGGGUUCUGCAGUGAACUCGCUUGCAUGUGCCAGGCCCCAGGAAUGGCAAAUAUCCCUAAAAUGCUUCAUUGUACUUGUUGUUCACAACAGUAACACUAUCAAUUAUAGGACUUGUAGCCUGUUAAGCCAGGUUCAAUUAUAGGACAUUGAUUUGUGUGCACUACUAGAUUGAAUGUUCAAGCCAAAUGGAUGCUCAUACCCUUGUGGUGUCUCAGGUGACUUGAAGCGCGUCUGAGAGAUUGACCUUGGGCUGAUCUCGCAGUGCUGUUUGGCCAAUUAUUUAAGAUGAACAAACAGAUCCUGGCAAACCUUGCUCUGAAGAUAAAUGUCAAGGUUGCAUUUUCUUCAG